rnacentral:lncRNA from 1 species
CACCUUCCCUGGAAAGACAGACUCAAGGAUAGCUCCCACUCUGGUGGGCUCUGGGCUGGGGUUUUGAGGUUCUGAGCUGAGUGUGGCCUCGCUGGCUUGCCUGUCCCUCUGAUGAGGCAGAGUGAGCUGGUCUUUUGUGACAAUGCAGGGGGUGAGGUGGGAAGGCGAGGACUCUGGAGGCAGAAAUACUUCAGGUCUGAUGCUAUUUUGCCUCUGGGUGGCCUGAGGCGAGUCACUCAGCCUCUCUAGAAAUGGGGCAAUGUCCACCAGGUGUCCACUCAAAACCUUGACAUAAGUGCAAGCCUGGCCCUGACCCUGGCUGUGGCCUGCCCCAGGUCUGCUGAUCUCUGGCCUUUGCAUUUCCCUAGCCUGGCCUGCUCUUCCCAGCCUGGCUUCUCCACCUCCUCCUGCCUCUGGCUGGCCUGCUCCCCUUGGGGAGGUCUUCCCUGACCUCCUUAAGAACUGACCCCACUCCAGCCGCCCCCCGCCCCACCUCUGCUCUAGUGUCCUUCCUAGCCAGUGGCUGUCUGCAUCUUUUACAGAAACACAUUGCUUUCUGGUUUGUCUCUUUCCAUGAGACAGUGAAUUCAACAGACAGGGAUUCGGGCAGAUUUGUACACAGCUGUCCCCUGGGACCUCUGUUAAGCUCACAGACCUUAGUGAGGACAUGGAGCGGUAGGUUUUCCCCUUGAAAAAAAAAAAGACAAAUAUAAGAAAGCUAGCAGACAAGG